AUUGAACGCUGGCGGAAUGCUUUACACAUGCAAGUCGAACGGCAGCACGGACUUCGGUCUGGUGGCGAGUGGCGAACGGGUGAGUAAUGUAUCGGAACGUGCCCAGUCGUGGGGGAUAACGUAGUGAAAAUUACGCUAAUACCGCAUACGAUCUAUGGAUGAAAGCGGGGGAUCGCAAGACCUCGCGCGAUUGGAGGGGCCGAUAUCAGAUUAGGUAGUUGGUGGGGUAAAGGCCCACCAAGCCAACGAUCUGUAGCUGGUCUGAGAGGACGACGAGCCAAACUGGAACUGAGACACGGUCCAGACUCCUACGGGAGGCAGCAGUGGGGAAUUUUGGACAAUGGGCGAAAGCCUGAUCCAGCCAUUCCGCGUGCAGGAUGAAGGCCCUCGGGUUGUAAACUGCUUUUGUACAGAACGAAAAGGUUUCUACUAAUACUAGGAGCUCAUGACGGUACUGUAAGAAUAAGCACCGGCUAACUACGUGCCAGCCGCCGCCGUAA
rnacentral:rRNA from 1 species